rnacentral:rRNA from 1 species
GACGAACGCUGUCGGCGUGCUUAACAAAUGCAAGUCGAACGGAAAGGCCCUGCUUGCUGGGUUCUCGAGUGGCGAACGGGUGUGUAACACGUGCUUGCUCUGCCCUGCACUUCGGGAUAAGCCUUGUAAACUGGGUCUAAUCCCCGAUAGGAGCCAUUUUUAGUGUGAUGGUUGGAAAGUUUUUUCGGUGUAGGAUGAGCUCGCGUCCUAUCAGCUUGUUGGUGGGGUAAUGGCCUACCAAGGCGGCGACGGGUAGCCGGCCUGUGAUGGUGGACGGCCACACUGGGACAGAGAAAAGGCACAGAACUCAGCACGGUGCAGCAGAGCGGAAUAUUGCAAAAGGCGUGCAAGCCUGAUGCAGGGACGGUGGGUGGGGGAAGACAGACGUCGGGAUGGAAGCUCCGGAAGAGAGGGAGGAAGCAGUUUGGGACGGGACAUAGAGAAGAAGGAACGGCUAAAUACGGG